rnacentral:rRNA from 1 species
UACGGGGGGGAGCAAGCGUUGUUCGGAUUUACUGGGCGUAAAGGGCGCGUAGGCGGUCGUGACAAGUCACUUGUGAAAUCUCCGGGCUUAACUCGGAACGGUCAAGUGAUACUGUCGGACUAGAGUACAGAAGGGGGCAACUGGAAUUCUCGGUGUAGCGGUGAAAUGCGUAGAUAUCGAGAGGAACACCUGCGGCGAAGGCGGGUUGCUGGGCUGAUACUGACGCUGAGGCGCGAAAGCCAGGGGGAGCGAACGGGG